rnacentral:rRNA from 1 species
UAAGGAAUAUUGGGCAAUGGGCGAAAGCCUGACCCAGCCAUGCCGCGUGCAGGAUGACAGCCCUAGUGGUUGUAAACUGCUUUUAUACGAGAAGAAAUGCUCCGACGUGUCGGAGUUUGACGGUACCGUAUGAAUAAGCACCGGCUAACUCCGUGCCAGCAGCCGCGGUAAUACGGAGGGUGCAAGCGUUAUCCGGAUUCAUUGGGUUUAAAGGGUGCGUAGGCGGAAUUUUAAGUCAGCGGUGAAAUCCUACAGCUUAACUGUAGAACUGCCGUUGAUACUAUUAUUCUUGAGUAUAGUUGAAGUGGGCGGAAUGUGUCAUGUAGCGGUGAAAUGCAUAGAUAUGACACAGAACACCAAUUGCGUAGGCAGCUCACUAAGCUAUUACUGACGCUAAGGCACGAAAGCGUGGGGAGCGAACAGG